UUCCGGUUGACCCUGCCGGACCUGACUGCUAUCGGAUUGAUACUAAGCCAUGCGAGUCUUUGCAGUAAUGCAAGGCAUACGGCUCAGUAACACGUAGUCAACUUACCCUAUGGACGAGGAUAAUCUCGGGAAACUGAGCAUAAUACUCGAUAGAUCAUAAUGCCUGGAAUGGUUUAUGGUUGAAAUGAUUCGUCGCCAUAGGAUGGGACUGCGGCCUAUCAGCUUGUUGGUGAGGUAAUGGCCCACCAAGGCGAUUACAGGUACGGGCUCUGAGAGGAGAAGCCCGGAGAUGGGUACUGAGACAAGGACCCAGGCCCUAUGGGGCGCAGCAGGCGAGAAAACUUUGCAAUGUGCGAAAGCACGACAAGGUUAAUCCGAGUGAUUUCUGCUAAAGGAAUCUUUUGCAAGUCAUAAAACCACUAGUGAAUAAGGGGUGGGCAAGUUCUGGUGUCAGCCGCCGCGGUAAAACCAGCACCUCAAGUGGUCAGGAGGAUUAUUGGGCCUAAAGCAUCCGUAGCCGGCUCUGUAAGUUUUCGGUUAAAUCCAUGUGCUCAACGCAUGGGCUGCCGAAAAUAUUGCAUGGCUAGGGAGUGGGAGAGGUAGACGGUACUCAGUAGGAAGGGGUAAAAUCCUUUGAUCUAUUGAUGACCACCUGUGGCGAAGGCGGUCUACCAGAACACGUUCGACGGUGAGGGAUGAAAGCUGGGGGAGCAAACCGGAUUAGAUACCCGGGUAGUCCCAGCUGUAAACGAUGCAGACUCGAUGAUGCAUUGGCAUAUAGCCAGUGCAGUGUCGCAGGGAAGCCGUUAAGUCUGCCGCCUGGGAAGUACGUACGCAAGUAUGAAACUUAAAGGAAUUGGCGGGGGAGCACCACAAGGGGUGAAGCCUGCGGUUCAAUUGGAUUCAACGCCGGA
rnacentral:rRNA from 1 species